GAUGAACGCUGGCGGCGUGCCUAAUACAUGCAAGUCGAGCGAACAGACGAGGAGCUUGCUCCUCUGACGUUAGCGGCGGACGGGUGAGUAACACGUGGAUAACCUACCUAUAAGACUGGGAUAACUUCGGGAAACCGGAGCUAAUACCAGAUAAUAUAUUGAACCGCAUGGUUCAAUAGUGAAAGAGGGUUUUGCUGUCACUUAUAGAUGGAUCCGCGCCGCAUUAGCUAGUUGGUAAGGUAACGGCUUACCAAGGCGACGAUGCGUAGCCGACCUGAGAGGGUGAUCGGCCACACUGGAACUGAGACACGGUCCAGACUCCUACGGGAGGCAGCAGUAGGGAAUCUUCCGCAAUGGGCGAAAGCCUGACGGAGCCACGCCGCGUGAGUGAUGAAGGUCUUCGGAUCGUAAAGCUCUGUUAUUAGGGAAGAACAAAUGUGUAAGUAACUAUGCACGUCUUGACGGUACCUAAUCAGAAAGCCACGGCUAACUACGUG
rnacentral:rRNA from 1 species